rnacentral:rRNA from 1 species
UGAGUAACACGUAUCCAACCUGACCGCUUACUCGGGGAUAGCCUUUCGAAAGAAAGAUUAAUACCCGAUGGUAUAAAGAGUUCGCAUGUUCUCUUUAUUAAAGAAUUUCGGUAAGCGAUGGGGAUGCGUUCCAUUAGAUAGUUGGCGGGGUAACGGCCCACCAAGUCUACGAUGGAUAGGGGUUCUGAGAGGAAGGUCCCCCACAUUGGAACUGAGACACGGUCCAAACUCCUACGGGAGGCAGCAGUGAGGAAUAUUGGUCAAUGGACGAGAGUCUGAGCCAGCCAAAAGUAGCGUGAAGGAUGACUGCCCUAUGGGUUGUAAACUUCUUUUAUAAGGGAAUAAAGUGAGGGACGUGUCCCUUUUUGUAUGUACCUUAUGAAUAAGGAUCGGCUAACUCCGUGCCAGCCGCGGC